AGAUGUGAGGGCUAUCUGGCUACGACAUCUGUCACCCCAUUGAUCUCCAGGGUUCAGUCAGUUGAUCUGGCUGGCUAGGUGAGUAUCCCCUUCCUCACUCACCACUCCAUGUGCAUCCCUCCCAAAGCUGUAACCUUGGUCAAAGAGGACAGCCUUCCCUGAAUAGACAGACCUGUCUUCAGUCAAGGGUUUAUGAGUAGCUGCGCUUCCCUGCUAGAACCUCCAAAUAAACUCUCUAGUUACUUUGGUUCAAUGAGUAACUCAUCGUUUAAAGAACAUUCAAUUAACAUAUAUUUCUGAUUGAUUUU
ensembl:misc_RNA 7SK 7SK RNA